UACGUAGGGGACGAGCGUUGUCCGGAUUCAUUGGGCGUAAAGCGCGCGUAGGCGGCUCGGAAAGUCGGGCGUGAAAUCCCUGGGCUCAACCCAGGGCCUGCAUCGGAAACUGUCGGGCUUGAGUAUGGGAGAGGUGAGUGGAAUUUCCGGUGUAGCGGUGAAAUGCGUAGAUAUCGGAAGGAACACCUGUGGCGAAAGCGGCUCACUGGACCAUUACUGACGCUGAGGCACGAAAGCUAGGGGAGCAAACAGG
rnacentral:rRNA from 1 species